UUCGACUUGGGAGGUUGUGCCCUUGAGGCGUGGCUUCCGGAGCUAACGCGUUAAGUCGACCGCCUGGGGAGUACGGCCGCAAGGUUAAAACUCAAAUGAAUUGACGGGGGCCCGCACAAGCGGUGGAGCAUGUGGUUUAAUUCGAUGCAACGCGAAGAACCUUACCUACUCUUGACAUCCACAGAAUUUAGCAGAGAUGCUUUAGUGCCUUCGGGAACCGUGAGACAGGUGCUGCAUGGCUGUCGUCAGCUCGUGUUGUGAAAUGUUGGGUUAAGUCCCGCAACGAGCGCAACCCUUAUCCUUUGUUGCCAGCGGUUCGGCCGGGAACUCAAAGGAGACUGCCAGUGAUAAACUGGAGGAAGGUGGGGAUGACGUCAAGUCAUCAUGGCCCUUACGAGUAGGGCUACACACGUGCUACAAUGGCAUAUACAAAGAGAAGCGACCUCGCGAGAGCAAGCGGACCUCAUAAAGUAUGUCGUAGUCCGGAUCGGAGUCUGCAACUCGACUCCGUGAAGUCGGAAUCGCUAGUAAUCGUGGAUCAGAAUGCCACGGUGAAUACGUUCCCGGGCCUUGUACACACCGCCCGUCACACCAUGGGAGUGGGUUGCAAAAGAAGUAGGUAGCUUAACCUUCGGGAGGGCGCUUACCACUUUGUGAUUCAUGACUGGGGUGAAGUCGUACAAGGGUAACCGACC
rnacentral:rRNA from 1 species